rnacentral:rRNA from 1 species
CCUACGGGAGGCAGCAGUGGGGGAUAUUGCACAAUGGGGGGAACCCUGAUGCAGCGACGCCGCGUGAGUGAAGAAGUAUUUCGGUAUGUAAAGCUCUAUCAGCAGGGAAGAAGAAAGACGGUACCUGAGUAAGAAGCCCCGGCUAACUACGUGCCAGCAGCCGCGGUAAUACGUAGGGGGCAAGCGUUAUCCGGAUUUACUGGGUGUAAAGGGAGCGUAGACGGUAUGGCAAGUCUGAAGUGAAAGCCCCGGGCUCAACCUGGGAAUUGCUUUGGAAACUGUUAAACUAGAGUGCUGGAGAGGCA